AGAGUUUGAUCAUGGCUCAGAUUGAACGCUGGCGGCAGGCCUAACACAUGCAAGUCGAACGGUAACAGGAAGCAGCUUGCUGCUUUGCUGACGAGUGGCGGACGGGUGAGUAAUGUCUGGGAAACUGCCUGAUGGAGGGGGAUAACUACUGGAAACGGUGGCUAAUACCGCAUAACGUCGCAAGACCAAAGAGGGGGGACCUUCGGGCCUCUUGCCAUCAGAUGUGCCCAGAUGGGAUUAGCUAGUUGGUGAGGUAACGGCUCACCAAGGCGACGAUCCCUAGCUGGUCUGAGAGGAUGACCAGCCACACUGGAACUGAGACACGGUCCAGACUCCUACGGGAGGCAGCAGUGGGGAAUAUUGCACAAUGGGCGCAAGCCUGAUGCAGCCAUGCCGCGUGUAUGAAGAAGGCCUUCGGGUUGUAAAGUACUUUCAGCGGGGAGGAAGGUGUUGUGGUUAAUAACCGCAGCAAUUGACGUUACCCGCAGAAGAAGCACCGGCUAACUCCGUGCCAGCAGCCGCGGUAAUACGGAGGGUGCAAGCGUUAAUCGGAAUUACUGGGCGUAAAGCGCACGCAGGCGGUCUGUCAAGUCGGAUGUGAAAUCCCCGGGCUCAACCUGGGAACUGCAUUCGAAACUGGCAGGCUUGAGUCUUGUAGAGGGGGGUAGAAUUCCAGGUGUAGCGGUGAAAUGCGUAGAGAUCUGGAGGAAUACCGGUGGCGAAGGCGGCCCCCUGGACAAAGACUGACGCUCAGGUGCGAAAGCGUGGGGAGCAAACAGGAUUAGAUACCCUGGUAGUCCACGCCGUAAACGAUGUCUACUUGGAGGUUGUGCCCUUGAGGCGUGGCUUCCGGAGCUAACGCGUUAAGUAGACCGCCUGGGGAGUACGGCCGCAAGGUUAAAACUCAAAUGAAUUGACGGGGGCCCGCACAAGCGGUGGAGCAUGUGGUUUAAUUCGAUGCAACGCGAAGAACCUUACCUGGUCUUGACAUCCACAGAAGAAUCCAGAGAUGGAUUUGUGCCUUCGGGAACUGUGAGACAGGUGCUGCAUGGCUGUCGUCAGCUCGUGUUGUGAAAUGUUGGGUUAAGUCCCGCAACGAGCGCAACCCUUAUCCUUUGUUGCCAGCGGUCCGGCCGGGAACUCAAAGGAGACUGCCAGUGAUAAACUGGAGGAAGGUGGGGAUGACGUCAAGUCAUCAUGGCCCUUACGACCAGGGCUACACACGUGCUACAAUGGCGCAUACAAAGAGAAGCGACCUCGCGAGAGCAAGCGGACCUCAUAAAGUGCGUCGUAGUCCGGAUUGGAGUCUGCAACUCGACUCCAUGAAGUCGGAAUCGCUAGUAAUCGUGGAUCAGAAUGCCACGGUGAAUACGUUCCCGGGCCUUGUACACACCGCCCGUCACACCAUGGGAGUGGGUUGCAAAAGAAGUAGGUAGCUUAACCUUCGGGAGGGCGCUUACCACUUUGUGAUUCAUGACUGGGGUGAAGUCGUAACAAGGUAACCGUAGGGGAACCUGCGGUUGGAUCACCU
rnacentral:rRNA from 1 species